rnacentral:tRNA from 1 species
GAGGGUAUAGCUCCGUGGUAGGGUGUGUGCUUAGCAUGCACGAUGUCCUGGGUUCAAUCCCCAGUACUUACA